AAACUGUAUAACUAGAGUAUGAAAGGGGAGGGUGGAACUAUCAAUGUAGCGGUGGAAUGCGUAGAGAUUGAUAGGAACGCCGAUAACGAAGGUAGCUCUCUGGUUCAAUACUGACGCUGAAGCGCGAAAGCUAGGGUAGCAAACGGGAUUAGAUACCCCGGUAGUCCUAGCUGUAAACGAUGGAUAUUGGGUGUACGUGGUCGAACAUCUGCGCCGAAGUUAAUGCAAUAAAUAUCCCGCCUGGGGAGUACGAUCGCAAGAUUGAAACUCAAAGGAAUUGACGGGGACCCGCACAAGCGGUGGAGCAUGUGGUUUAAUUCGAUGCAACGCGAGGAACCUUACCAGGUCUUGACAUCCUGCGAACACGUUAGAGAUAA
rnacentral:rRNA from 1 species